GACGAACGCUGGCGGCGUGCUUAACACAUGCAAGUCGAACGGAAAGGCCCUGCUUUUGUGGGGUGCUCGAGUGGCAAACGGGUGAGUAACACGUGAGUAACCUGCCCUUGACUUUGGGAUAACUUCAGGAAACUGGGGCUAAUACCGGAUAGGAGCUCCUGCUGCAUGGUGGGGGUUGGAAAGUUUCGGCGGUUGGGGAUGGACUCGCGGCUUAUCAGCUUGUUGGUGGGGUAGUGGCUUACCAAGGCUUUGACGGGUAGCCGGCCUGAGAGGGUGACCGGCCACAUUGGGACUGAGAUACGGCCCUGACUCCUACGGGAGGCAGCAGUGGGGAAUAUUGCACAAUGGGCGGAAGCCUGAUGCAGCAACGCCGCGUGCGGGAUGACGGCCUUCGGGUUGUAAACCGCUUUCGCCUGUGACGAAGCGUGAGUGACGGUAAUGGGUAAAGAAGCACCGGCUAACUACGUG
rnacentral:rRNA from 1 species